CAAGACUUACGGCACAAUUACGCAGGCUCGAACACAUUGAGUUUAAUUAUGAGUUUGUUCGUAAUUUAACGUAAUUUUAAAGAGCCAGCUUCACACGGUGAACUCAAGUUUGGUAGCAUAACUUUAACGGUCGAGUGCAGGCGACAGCGGCGCUCCACUCCGCAUGCUAAUACGAAGCACAACCGCGCCCUCUGACUAAUGUGACUUUGUUUACUUUGGCGAGGACCAUGCUGUGGCGCACGUCGGGGUUGUCGUCAGCGAUCGUCU